rnacentral:rRNA from 1 species
ACUACAUGUACAGGAUAGGUGGGAGGCUUUGAAACCAGGACGCCAGUUUUGGCGGAGCCAUCCUUGGGAUACCACCCUUGUAGUACUGGGACUCUAACCAUAGGCCAUGAAUCUGGUCUUGGGACACUGUCAGGUGGGCAGUUUGACUGGGGCGGUCGCCUCCCAAAAGGUAACGGAGGCGCUCAAAGGUUCUCGCAGUACGGUCGGAAAUCGUACGUAGAGUGUAAAGGCAAAAGAGAGCUUGAUUGCAAGACAUACAGGUCGAGCAAGGAUGAAAAUCGGACUUAGUGAUCCGGUGGUUCUGCGUGGAAGGGCCAUCGCUCAACGGAUAAAAG